rnacentral:lncRNA from 1 species
GGGCAUCAUCAUAAUAUCAAUACCUCUUCCGGAUUUACCGGGCAUCACCACAUUAUCAAUAUAUCCUCCGGAUUCACCGGGCAUCAUCAUAAUAUCAAUACGUCUUCUGGAUUUACCGGGCAUCAUCACUUCAUCAAUAGAUCCUCCGGAUUCACCGGGCAUCAUCAUAAUAUCAAUACCUCUUUCGGAUUUACCGGACAUCAUCACAUCAUCAAUAUAUCCUCCGGAUUCACCGGUCAUCAUCAUAACAUCAAUACCUCUUCCGGAUUUAUUGGGCAUCAUCACAUCAUCAAUAUAUCCUCCGGAUUCACCGCGCAUCAUCAUAGCAUCAAUAUAUCGUCCGGAUUCACCGGGCAUCAUCAUAUCGUCAAU